GAUGAACGCUAGCUACAGGCUUAACACAUGCAAGUCGAGGGGCAGCACAGUGUAGCAAUACACGGGUGGCGACCGGCGCACGGGUGCGUAACGCGUAUCCAACCUUCCCGUUACUCAGGGAUAGCCUUCCGAAAGGGUGAUUAAUACCUGAUGGUGUUGAAAUUCCGCAUGUUAUUUCAACUAAAGAUUUAUCGGUAACGGAUGGGGAUGCGUGACAUUAGGUAGAUGGCGGGGUAACGGCCCACCAUGCCUACGAUGUCUAGGGGUUCUGAGAGGAAGGUCCCCCACACUGGAACUGAGACACGGUCCAGACUCCUACGGGAGGCAGCAGUGAGGAAUAUUGGUCAAUGGUCGGAAGACUGAACCAGCCAAGUAGCGUGAAGGAUGAAGGUUCUAUGGAUUGUAAACUUCUUUUAUACGGGAAUAAAACCACCUACGUGUAGGUGCUUGUAUGUACCGUAUGAAUAAGCAUCGGCUAACUCCGUGCCAGCCGCCGCAGUAAAAC
rnacentral:rRNA from 1 species